rnacentral:rRNA from 1 species
CAGCCGCCGCGGUAAUGCGAAGGGUGCAAGCGUUAAUCGGAAUUACUGGGCGUAAAGCGUGCGUAGGCGGUGAGUUAAGUCUGCUGUGAAAUCCCCGGGCUCAACCUGGGAAUGGCAGUGGAUACUGGCUCGCUAGAGUGUGUCAGAGGAUGGUGGAAUUCCCGGUGUAGCGGUGAAAUGCGUAGAGAUCGGGAGGAACAUCAGUGGCGAAGGCGGCCAUCUGGGACAACACUGACGCUGAGGCACGAAAGCGUGGGGAGCAAACAGGAUUAGAUACCCCCGUGUCCCUGUCUCUUAUACA